UACGAAGGGGGCUAGCGUUGCUCGGAAUCACUGGGCGUAAAGGGUGCGUAGGCGGGUCUUUAAGUCAGGGGUGAAAUCCUGGAGCUCAACUCCAGAACUGCCCUUGAUACUGAAGGUCUUGAGUUCGGGAGAGGUGAGUGGAACUGCGAGUGUAGAGGUGAAAUUCGUAGAUAUUCGCAAGAACACCAGUGGCGAGGGCGGCUCACUGGCCCGAUACUGACGCUGAUGCACGAAAGCGUGGGGAGCAAACAGG
rnacentral:rRNA from 1 species